CCUACGGGAGGCAGCAGUAGGGAAUCUUCCGCAAUGGGCGCAAGCCUGACGACGCAACGCCGCGUGGAGGAUGAAGGUCUUCGGAUUGUAAACUCCUGUUGCUCGGGUCGAAAAGCCUCGACCUAAUACGUCGAGGUCUGACGGUACCGAGUGAGGAAGCCCCGGCUAACUCUGUGCCAGCAGCCGCGGUAAU
rnacentral:rRNA from 1 species